GACGAACGCUGGCGGCGUGCUUAACACAUGCAAGUCGAACGGAAAGGCCCUGCUUUUGUGGGGUGCUCGAGUGGCGAACGGGUGAGUAACACGUGAGUAACCUGCCCUUGACUUUGGGAUAACUUCAGGAAACUGGGGCUAAUACCGGAUAGGAGCUCCUGCUGCAUGGUGGGGGUUGGAAAGUUUCGGCGGUUGGGGAUGGACUCGCGGCUUAUCAGCUUGUUGGUGGGGUAGUGGCUUACCAAGGCUUUGACGGAUAGCCGGCCUGGGAGGGUGACCGGGCACAUUGCGACUGCGAGACGGACCAGACUGCAACGGGAGGCAGCAGGGGGGAAGAUGGCAGAACGGGCGGAAGCCUGUGGCAGCAACGCCGGGUGCGGGAUGACGGCCUUCGGGUUGUAAACCGCUGUCGCCUGAGACGAAGCGUGAGUGACGGUAACGGGUAAAGAAGCACCGGCUAACUACGUG
rnacentral:rRNA from 1 species